rnacentral:piRNA from 1 species
GCCCAGGGUAGUCAGUGUGCGGCCUCCAGU